GGGAGUGCUUGGCUUCGAUAAAGUUUUCUUUUAAAAUUUGCGCAAGUGGUGUAUGGGUAUAAUCACCUAAAUCUUUUAUCCAAAAUCAUAAUUGCCAAAUCAAAUAGCAAUUACGCUUUAGCAUACGCUUAAGGCGCGUCUUGCCGGUGAUUUCUGUUAGCCGGGCCAAGAUGUCAUUAACAGGAUAAGAUUUUAUCGUCUUUUAAAUGUUUUAGCGGUAAGGUACUAAAAAUACAAAAUAGCUUAUUGGUUGUUCUGUCGGAUUUUUAAACCAAUAAGUAAUUAGUCCGGCUAAACUUGUAGUGCAAUUUUAAAUGAAGCUUUAGACGCGGGUUCGAUUCCCGUCACUUCCACUC
rnacentral:tmRNA from 1 species